rnacentral:rRNA from 1 species
UGGGGAAUAUUGCACAAUGGGCGAAAGCCUGAUGCAGCAACGCCGCGUGAGGGAUGAAGGCCUUCGGGUUGUAAACCUCUUUUAGCAGGGAAGAAGCGAAAGUGACGGUACCUGCAGAAAAAGCACCGGCUAACUACGUGCCAGCAGCCGCGGUAAUACGUAGGGUGCAAGCGUUGUCCGGAAUUAUUGGGCGUAAAGAGCUCGUAGGCGGUUUGUCGCGUCUGCUGUGAAAAUCCGAGGCUAAACCUC